CUAAACACUGGUUAACUAAUAAUCUUAAAGGCACCUACAAGUGUGGUAGGUGUAAAGCUUGUGACUUUAUAAAAAAAAGACUCUUAGUCCUUUCAUGAUAGCUCCAAAAGCCUACACUUCGAUACUCCAGCCUUCUUCAAUUGCAGUUCCAAAGGAUUAGUCUACCUGAUUACCUGCCAAUGUGGGAUGUCUUAUGUGGGAAAAACUUUUCGCCCCUUUAGACGAAGAAUUCUAGAACAUAUCAACUCGGUAAAAACUCUGACAUAUAGAGACUCCGGUCUCAAGACAUGUUAAAACAGCUCAUGAGGGAAACCCUACUGUUCUAAAAUUCCAAGGCAUCGAACUUAUAAAACAAGAUCAAAGAAAAGGCAACUGGGACCUGCAAAUUAGAAAGAGAGAAUGCUACUG